AUUGAACGCUGGCGGCAUGCCUUACACAUGCAAGUCGAACGGCAGCACGGGGGCAACCCUGGUGGCGAGUGGCGAACGGGUGAGUAAUACAUCGGAACGUGUCCUGUAGUGGGGGAUAGCCCGGCGAAAGCCGGAUUAAUACCGCAUACGCUCUACGGAGGAAAGGGGGGGAUCUUAGGACCUCCCGCUACAGGGGCGGCCGAUGGCAGAUUAGCUAGUUGGUGGGGUAAAGGCCUACCAAGGCGACGAUCUGUAGCUGGUCUGAGAGGACGACCAGCCACACUGGGACUGAGACACGGCCCAGACUCCUACGGGAGGCAGCAGUGGGGAAUUUUGGACAAUGGGCGAAAGCCUGAUCCAGCAAUGCCGCGUGUGUGAAGAAGGCCUUCGGGUUGUAAAGCACUUUUGUCCGGAAAGAAAAACGCCGUGGUUAAUACCCGUGGCGGA
rnacentral:rRNA from 1 species